GGCCCGGUAGUUCAGUUGGUUAGAACGCUAGCCUGUCACGCUAGAGGUCGUCGGUUCGAACCCGAUCCGGGUCGCCA
rnacentral:tRNA from 4 species